rnacentral:lncRNA from 1 species
UCAAAUUAGAUCAAUUAAGAAUCGGAUUCGAAUCCAAUUCGAAUCAAGAGCUAAGGGUUUGCAACACCUACUAGGAUGUCUAUCUUGCAAACAUGAUCUAAUCCAAUUAGACCCUUAAUAAGUUUUUUGGUGUGUGACCCAUUGAGUUCCAUACUUAGCCAGCAAUAGGUGUGAGUGCGAGUUGACCCAACUUGAUUAGAACUCUUCUAAUCGAUUUAAGUCCAAACUG